rnacentral:lncRNA from 1 species
CCCCCACCCUUCCUUCCGAUCCUUCACUCUUUCACGUCUCCUACAAUCUCUCUCUCUCUCUCUCUCUCAUUUUCAUUUCCUCCCUCAUUUGAUUCUUUCUCCAUUUCCCUUCCCCACUGUCUGUUUCUCUCCUUUCUCUUUCCUGCCUACCCCCUGCACAGUCACAGUUGUCAGUGGCACACACACAUUCGACCCCUUUUCAGGCUGCGCUGCUAGAAUGGAGUGAAUCUGAGACCUCACAGGAGUUGCUAUGUCUCACAGGAUGACUUCUCACACAGCUUUGAGGAAAGCACUUCUUAAUAGAAAUGAGUCAAUGCCACAUUAUUAGAUGAGUGUACAAGAUAAGAAAGCUUGUUGCAGACAUCUUGGAA